rnacentral:rRNA from 1 species
AACGAACGCUGGCGGCAGGCUUAACACAUGCAAGUCGAGCGCGUAGCAAUACGAGCGGCAGACGGGUGAGUAACGCGUGGGAAUCUACCCAACCCUACGGGAAUAACGCAUGGAAACGUGUGCUAAUACCGUAUACGCCCUUCGGGGAAGAUUAUCGGGAGUGGAGUGAGCCCGCGUUGGAUUAGCUAGUUGGUGGGGUAAAGGCCUACCAAGGCGACGAUCCAUAGCUGGUCUGAGAGGAUGAUCAGCCACAUUGGGACUGAGACACGGCCCAAACUCCUACGGGAGGCAGCAGUGGGGAAUAUUGGACAAUGGGCGCAAGCCUGAUCCAGCCAUGCCGCGUGAGUGAUGAAGGCCUCGGUGUAAG